UGAUUUUGCAGCUAGGGUGAGAAU
rnacentral:misc_RNA from 1 species